rnacentral:rRNA from 1 species
GAUGAACGCUGGCGGCGUGCCUAAUACAUGCAAGUCGAGCGAACAGACGAGGAGCUUGCUCCUUCGACGUUAGCGGCGGACGGGUGAGUAACACGUAGGUAACCUACCUAUAAGACUGGGAUAACUUCGGGAAACCGGAGCUAAUACCGGAUAAUAUUUCGAACCGCAUGGUUCGAUAGUGAAAGAUGGCUUUGCUAUCACUUAUAGAUGGACCUGCGCCGUAUUAGCUAGUUGGUAAGGUAACGGCUUACCAAGGCUACGAUACGUAGCCGACCUGAGAGGGUGAUCGGCCACACUGGAACUGAGACACGGUCCAGACUCCUACGGGAGGCAGCAGUAGGGAAUCUUCCGCAAAGGGCGAAAGCCUGACGGAGCAACGCCGCGUGAGUGAUGAAGGUCUUCGGAUCGUAAAACUCUGUUAUUAGGGAAGAACAAACGUGUAAGUAACUGUGCACGUCUUGACGGUACCUAAUCAGAAAGCCACGGCUAACUACGUG